GACGAACGCUGGCGGCAUGCCUAACACAUGCAAGUCGAACGAGAUCUUCGGGUCUAGUGGCGCACGGGUGCGUAACGCGUGGGAAUCUGCCCUUUGGUUCGGAAUAACAGUUGGAAACGACUGCUAAUACCGGAUGAUGACGAAAGUCCAAAGAUUUAUCGCCAGAGGAUGAGCCCGCGUAGGAUUAGCUAGUUGGUGUGGUAAAGGCGCACCAAGGCGACGAUCCUUAGCUGGUCUGAGAGGAUGAUCAGCCACACUGGGACCGAGACACGGCCCAGACUCCUACGGGAGGCAGCAGUGGGGAAUAUUGGACAAUGGGCGAAAGCCUGAUCCAGCAAUGCCGCGUGAGUGAUGAAGGCCUUAGGGUUGUAAAGCUCUUUUACCCGGGAUGAUAAUGACAGUACCGGGAGAAUAAGCUCCGGCUAACUCCGUGCCAGCAGCCGCGGUAA
rnacentral:rRNA from 1 species